rnacentral:rRNA from 1 species
GACGAACGCUGGCGGCGUGGAUUAGGCAUGCAAGUCGAACGGUAUCAUCCUUUCGGGGGUGAGAGAGUGGCGAACUGGUGAGUAACACGUAGGUUAUCUACCCUCAAGACGGGACAACCCAGGGAAACUUGGGCUAAUACCGGAUGUGAGCAACUUUUAGUUGUUUGAAAGGUGGCGUAAGCUGCCGCUUGGGGAUGAGCCUGCGUCCUAUUAGUUAGUUGGUGAGGUAACGGCUCACCUAGGCAAUGAUAGGUAGGCGGCCUUAACGGGUGGUCGCCCACACUGGGAUUGAGAUACGGCCCAGACUCCUACGGGAGGCAGCAGUCGAGAAUAGUCUACAAUGGUCGGAAGACUGAUAGUGCGACGCCGCGUGAACGAUGAAUCCCUUCGGGGUGUAAAGUUCUUUUAUAUGUGAGCAGUGCUUCUUAUAUUAACAGUAUGGGGAGAGAGAUAUUAGCAUAUGAAUAAGCAACGGCUAACUCCGUG